GACGAACGCUGGCGGCGUGCUUAACACAUGCAAGUCGAGCGAUGAAGUUCCUUCGGGAAUGGAUUAGCGGCGGACGGGUGAGUAGCACGUGGGUAACCUGCCUCAUAGAGGGGAAUAGCCUUCCGAAAGGAAGAUUAAUACCGCAUAAGAUUGUAGUAUCGCAUGAUAUAGCAAUUAAAGGAGCAAUCCGCUAUGAGAUGGACCCGCGUCGCAUUAGCUAGUUGGUGAGGUAACGGCUCACCAAGGCGACGAUGCGUAGCCGACCUGAGAGGGUGAUCGGCCACAUUGGGACUGAGACACGGCCCAGACUCCUACGGGAGGCAGCAGUGGGGAAUAUUGCACAAUGGGGGGAACCCUGAUGCAGCAACGCCGCGUGAGUGAUGACGGUCUUCGGAUUGUAAAGCUCUGUCUUCAGGGACGAUAAUGACGGUACCUGAGGAGGAAGCCACGGCUAACUACGUGCCAGCAGCCGCGGUAAAAC
rnacentral:rRNA from 1 species